rnacentral:rRNA from 1 species
CUGGCUCAGGAUGAACGCUAGCGACAGGCUUAACACAUGCAAGUCGAGGGGCAUCACGGGAGUAGCAAUACAACUGGUGGCGACCGGCGCACGGGUGAGUAACGCGUAUGCAACCUACCUAUCAGAGGGGAAUAACCCGGCGAAAGUCGGACUAAUACCGCAUAAAACAGGGGCACCGCAUGGUGAUAUUUGUUAAAGAAAUUCGCUGAUAGAUGGGCAUGCGUUCCAUUAGGUAGUUGGUGAGGUAACGGCUCACCAAGCCGACGAUGGAUAGGGGAACUGAGAGGUUGGUCCCCCACACUGGUACUGAGACACGGACCAGACUCCUACGGGAGGCAGCAGUGAGGAAUAUUGGUCAAUGGGCGGGAGCCUGAACCAGCCAAGUCGCGUGAAGGAAGAAGGAUCUAUGGUUCGUAAACUUCUUUUGCAGGGGAAUAAAGUGCAGGACGUGUCCUGUUUUGUAUGUACCCUGAGAAUAAGGAUCGGCUAACUCCGUGCCAGCCGCCGC